CCAGGGCAGCAUGGAGAAAUCCUGACUCUAAAAAACAAAAAAAUAAAGAAAAAAGAGAGAAAGUAUUAAGGUGUGGUGUACGGUCCCCGGAGAUAGAGCCAGAGAAGUUAUAGCUCAGCAUGGUGGCUCACACCUGUUUUUGCUUCAGCACUUUGGAGGCCAAGACAGGAAGACUACUGCCUAAGUUGGAAUUACGGGCCUUCGCCACAAGACUUAGCUAAAAAGGUUAUUUCAGUUACUUUCCAUGCUGGGGAUGUAGCUCAGUGGUCGUACCUGCCUAUAGUGUACAUGAUCCUGGGCUCGAUCCGCUCAGCACUGCAGAAUUAACGGACUAGAUAAAAUGACUUUCUUUGUAAGGCUGGCCUUGGCAGCUAGAAAUAUGGGAAAGCACCUGAUUACAUAGUACUGGUUCAGGAAGGCUGUUUGGAGGAAGGAUUAGGGCUGAAAGUGGCCUGUUUGGGAAUUAUUUGGGAAAUAGGUCUGGGAGGCGAGGUAAACAUCUUGGCUUUACGUUGGACAGGAACCGUGGCCUCAGCAAUUCCAUGUUGACAUUUAGCUUGGUCUGCAGGGCCCAUGGCGAACCCCAGAAGUGCCCUGUUAUUUCUGCACCCCUGCUUUGCCACUGGGUCCCGAAUCACCACCAGCUGGGGCUGGGAGCCGUUCCCUCCAUCUUGGGCUAUCGCUUCUGGGCUCCUUUUUCCCCUCUAGAGAUUUUAUUUUCAUGUGUCUUUUGUCUGCACGUAUGUAGACACACCAGGUGUGCUGUGCUCCAUUUUUGGAAGCACACCCAAGACUGCUGUGUCCGGCCUGCUACACAGACAUUUUUAUCUGGAACACUCCUCGUUGAGACAUCUACUUUACCUUAAUCCUUCCACAGAAAAAUUAGCCUAAAGCAGCUGUGUUAGCCGGUCAGUUAUUUUUUCAUUGCAGGAUUCUUGGUUUUCUUGUUUGUUUGUUUUUGGACACAGGGAUUCUCUACAGUUUUGGCUUUGUAGACCAGGCAGGCCUUGAACUCGCUGAGAUCUGCCUGCUUCUGCCUCCCAAGUGCUGUGAUUAUAGGCAUACACCACCACCAUAAAGCAAAAAUUGUUUUUUUAAAGAUGAAUUUGUAUUAAACAUGCCACCACCACCCAGCCUGAUUCCAGGCUUUCUUAAUCUGUCUUUAGAUUUUUUUUAAAGAGAGGUGUGUGUGUGUGGGGGGUCUCAAUGAUGUGGCGACCUACUCCCGUAAACUCAGCACCUAGGAUUCAGAGACGGGAGGAUGAGUUCAAGGUCACCCUGGGCUGUAUUAGACCCUGCCUAAAAAAAGAAAACUGGGUGUGGUGGCACACACCUUUAGCCCUAGAGCACUUGGGAUAUAGAGGCAGGUGGAUCUUGUGAGUGAGUUCGAGGCCAGUCUGGUCUACAAAGCAAGUUCCAGAACAGGCUCGAUGGGGCUGGAGAGAUGACUCAGUGGUUGAGAGCACUGGAUUCUCUUCCGGAAGACUCAAGCUGUAUCCUCAGCACCCACACGACAGCUCACAACUGUCUCUGACUCUAGUCCAGAGCGUAUAUGCUCUCUUCUGGCCUCAGACAUACAUGUAGGCAGAACAUCCAUGUGUACAAAAUAUAUGUGCUUCCUGUGCUGGUCAGCGACUUCUUGGUUCAUUUGACCCACCUGCCUUGUUCUGAGGAGUAGCUGUGACUACACAGGUGUCUCUGGAGUAGCUGUGACUACACAGGUGUGUGUCGCCGCCAUGCUGUGUAGACUCCUGAGAACUGGACAUAACUGAAUCUGGGCUCUUUACUCCCAGUUAGUUAACAGAGUGUUUUGAUCAUGACAUUAGAUAUACUUUAUUGUGUGAGGUUGGAGAUUAUUCUCUUCACAUGCCAAGCAAGACUUUUGUUUGUUUGUUUUUCUUUUCUUUCUUUUUUUUUCCUGUGUAGCCUUAGCCGAUCUGGAAUUCUUACCUUGGCUUCCCACAUACUAGGAUGACACACGUGUGUCACCGUGUUUACUUAUGCGGUGUUGGCAUGGAUGGAACCACGGAUUCUAGGUAAGCACUCCUAUCAAGUGAAUAUCCUCAGCCCCCUAGUGUUCUAACACUGAGCUACAUUCAGGCCAUUGUGGCUUCUGUCUGUCUGUCUGUCUGUCUAUCUAUCUAUCUAUAUCUAUAUAAUUUGAUUUUUUUCCUUCAGAGGCUUUAGCUGUCAUGGAACACAUUCUUUUCUUUUUUUUCUUUUUUUUUUUUCUUUUUGAGACAGUGCUUUUCCGUCCUAGAACUUGCUCUGCAGACCAGGCUGGCCUUGAACUCACAGAGAUCCGCCUGCCUCUGCCUGUGGGGUUAAAGGACUGCACCACCACAUCUAGCUGGACAUUUUCUUGCAUCACUGAACUUCCCUUCUGUUUCUCAGAGAAGCCUGGGCUGCCAUCUAGGCACCUGAGGACCUCCUGCAGGGGCUCCUGCCAUGGCACAUUCCCUGGGAAUAUCCCUUGCGUUGUCUGGAGCCUGAGCACCCCACCUUGGCAGAGUUCUGGAGACUUCUUUUUAUUAGCAUUUUUCCCUCUUCCUCCCCUUAACUCUUCUUUAGCUCUCUCUCCCUGCUUCUUGAGGCCUCAGCUAUGUACCCUAUGCUGACUUAAAAUGUUUUUGGGGAGGAGGUUGUUGGGACAGAGUCCCAUGUGUGGUCCUGGCUGGUUUGGAACUUUACAUCGAGAACAGCUGACCUCGAUCCUGUGGCCGUUCUCUUGCACUCUGGUGGACAAACAGAGCCCUGGGCAGGCCCGACAGGGCUCUACCACCCAGGGAGCCUUCAGCCCCCAGCCUCAUGUGUGGAUGUGUUGUAGGGUAUUGAGGGCUCUUGUCUGCAUAGUUCCUCUUUUUCUUUAGACUUGGCCUCAACCGCCAUCCUCCCCUGCUUCUCCAAGUUCCAUUCUCCACCUCCUCAGCACUGUACCGCCUGCUCACCACUGUUCCUUGCAGCCCAGAAGUGGCCUCCAUUCAGAUGACCUGGUGACCUGGAAUUGGCCUCUGCCCCUCUACCCAGGGUGCUGGCAGUGAUGCCCAUCCUCCUAUCUGCACACAGCUGCUUGGUAUCUUGGCGAAUCUGGUUCUUAUCACCACAGCUUGCUAAGCAGGAGUGAGUGCCAGACAUUCUAUGGCCCUAGAAUAAAUACCACUAAAAAGCAAGCCGAUGUGAUUAUUUCUAAAUGUAUUUGCUUUGUUUCAGAAGUGACUUCAACAUGUUGCUUUCCUGAGUAGCUAUCAUCAUGUCCUCAUAACCAUUUCAAAAAAACCAACAGAUCUCUGAGGCACUGAGCCUCAGCAUUGUGGAGUCUCCUCCGCCCUGAAGGAAUUCAGCGCAGGCAGCAAACAGGCUGCUUGUUCGCUUCAGGAUCUGCACGGUUUGCUUGAUUAGUUUUUUCAACUUUUUUUUUUGUUGUUUUUGGAGACAGGGUUUCUCUGUGGUUUUGGAGCCUGUCCUGGA